GGGGUUGUGGCUCAGUGGUAGAGCACUCUCCUAGCAUGUGUGAGGCCCUGGGUUCAAUCCUCAGCACCA
rnacentral:tRNA from 1 species